GAAGCACCAAAGGGUUUUUUUCCUCGUAACAAGCAUCGAGAAUAGUUUAAAAAAAAAAAAAAAGAGCUUAGAGAAAAAAGUUUUCCCAACUUCUCAUUCCGCCUUCAGUUCCAGACUUCAGAGUCACCGUGAUCAUGCAAGCCUUUCACAUCACGUGAGGAUCAAGGGCUCAAUUGGUUGUCGUGAGAACAAAAAUGGUGACAAGCGUAUCAAGAAAAUACUGAUCUGGUCUUUAAAAAAAAAGCUGAAGGUCUCUCCCCUCCCCCUGCACACUCCCCCCCCCCCGUCGCCUCCCCCCGCCCCUGCAGUGGGCGCAGCUACAAGUUAUGAAUGUGAAACAUUUCUCGCCGAUCUAGGAUCUCGGAAGUUCGGAGGGAGUGAAAUGUAAUGAGCACAAGAGCAAAGCAGAUGUUUUAAAGAAACACCUUAUAAACCUUUCCUCAACUUAUCUCCAAUUUGUCGGCUUCCCCAAAGGAACAGGGAUGCGAACGACUGCGAAUUGGGGAAAAGCACCUCCGAGCUGCUUGGAUUUUUAGGGACCUCAAGUCUUAAAACAAAGAAGAACAUUUUUUGCUAGCUCCCAAGCCAGGUCCUGUAAUAAACACACCAUUGUUAACUAUUUGUGGGUUUGUUUGGGUUGGGUGGGGCUUUUUUUUUUUUUCCUUAAUAGUGUUUUUGCUGCUUGCUUUUUUUUUUUUAAGGAGAUGGAAAAUGGUAAUUAUUUAUAACCAUUACAUAUAAUGGGUGACUAUUCCCUUGCUUAAUAUUAAAUUAUUGGGCACUAGGAUGUGACAAGGAGACAGAAACCCUCUUGUUCUGCCCUUGCCCCCCAUUUUCCUUGGCUCGGUUUGGAAAAGGGUCUUGCCUAGCGAGGGUGGGAGAAGGGGGGGAGUGCAGUGAAGUGAACUAGAGAAUGGACACUGCAGAUCAGGCUAUGUAACUGUGUCACUUUUAUUUUCCUUUGGGUUAGAGUCCAAAAGGUAAUUUACUCUAAGUUACCCCGAGUGCCCAGUCAAGCUUAAUUUGUGUGAAGUUCCAAAUGCUUCACCCUCCACUGAAUAAAAAGUCACCCUUCUGGGUUGUUCUCAAUGCAAAAGCCAAACCCUGUAACUAGUUCCUCAUUUCAAUGCAUAAAACUCGAACAUUCCCCUGCAUGAAGUCCCCGCUAAGUGCUAUAGAGACACACCACGCAACCGUACUUACGGUCUGUAUUGGAUCGAGUUGACCUUUUCCUUCUAACUGCAUUGAAUGUGUUUGGUUUCAGCCGCUUUAUUUUGGAAAUUAUAGUCUCUUCAACAAAUGUAUUAUUAAAGAAGAUGGACCAUAAAAUGUCA